rnacentral:rRNA from 1 species
ACUCAAUAGAUACCCGGGUAGUCCACGCCCUAAACGAUGUCUACUAGUUGUCGGGUCUUAAUCGACUUGGUAAACGCAGCUAAACGCGUGAAGUAGACCGCCUGGGGAGUACGGUCGCAAGAUUAAAACUCAAAGGAAUUGACGGGGACCCGCACAAGCGGUGGAUGAUGUGGAUUAAUUCGAUGCAACGCGAAAAACCUUACCUACCCUUGACAUGGAAGGGAAGUCCCUGAGAGAUCGGGGAGUGCUCGAAAGAGAACCUUUACACAGGUGCUGCAUGGCUGUCGUCAGCUCGUGUCGUGAGAUGUUGGGUUAAGUCCCGCAACGAGCGCAACCCUUGUCAUUAGUUGCUACGAAAGGGCACUCUAAUGAGACUGCCGGUGACAAGCCGGA